GACGAACGCUGGCGGCGUGCCUAAUACAUGCAAGUAGGACGCAGUUGCGAACGGUUGAGUACCGCGUAGGUAACUGCCUAUUAGAGGGGGAUAACUAUUGGAAACGAUUACUAAUACCGCAUGCUAGUAGAUGGAUCUGCGUUGUAUUAGCUAGUAGGUAGGGUAAUGGCCUUCCUAGGCGAAGAUGCAUCGCCGAGCCGAGAGGGUUGAUGGCCACAAUGGGAAUGAGACACGGGCCAGACUCCUUACGGGUGGAGCAGGUGGGAAUCAUCGGCAAUGGGGGGAACGCUGGACGCAGAACGCCGCGGUGGUGAAGAAGGGUUUCGGGUCGGAAAGGUCUGUUGUGAAGGGAGCGGUACUUAACCAGAAAGGAACGGCUAACUACGUGCCAGCAGCCGCGGUAAUAC
rnacentral:rRNA from 1 species